GCGUUGUAUGAUGGCUACACGCCACACA
rnacentral:sRNA from 1 species